rnacentral:misc_RNA from 1 species
UGGCUCUCGCAUCGAUGAAGAACGCAGCGAAAUGCGAUAAGUAAUGUGAAUUGCAGAAUUCAGUGAAUCAUCGAAUCUUUGAACGCACCUUGCACUUCUUGGUAUUCCGAGAAGUAUGCCUGUUCGAGAAUCAUGAACCCAUCAACUCAUAAUUUUAUGCAGUUGGAAUUGGAGCUUUGUUGGCUUUCAUUAAUCAACUGCUCUGAAAUGUAUUAGCCGUCUUGUUAAUUGAUGUGACUGCAUCAGUGUAGUAAUUUAUACGCUGGCGACUUCAUCUUAUUACAAGUGUUGCUUAUAAAAACCCAAAUCAUUCAUUUUGAUCUCGAAUCAGGUAGGACUACCCGCUGA